rnacentral:rRNA from 1 species
AGAGUUUGAUCCUGGCUCAGGAUGAACGCUGGCGGCAUGCCUAAGACAUGCAAGUCGAACGAGACGGCCCAAUGAAGACUGCGUGCUUGCACAAAGUUGGAUUUGGAUUCCCGUCUAGUGGCGCAAGGGUGAGUAACACGUGGGUAAUCUACCUUUGAGUCUGGAAUAACAGUUAGAAAUGAUUGCUAAUGCCGGAUUAUAUAUAGAGUGAUACGUCAUUUUAUAUUAAAAAGAGCCUUUAAAGCUUCGCUUGAAGAUGAGCCUGCGCCGUAUUAGUUAGUUGGUGGGGUAAUGGCCUACCAAGACAACGAUGCGUAGCCGACCUGAGAGGGUGAUCGGCCACACUGGGACUGAGACACGGCCCAGACUCCUACGGGAGACAGCAGUUAGGAAUAUUCGUCAAUGGGGGAAACCCUGAACGAGCAAUGCCGCGUGAAGGAUGACGGUCCUAUGGAUUGUAAACUUCUGUUGUUAGGGAAGAACGACUUAAGUAGGAAAUGACUUAAGAGUGACGGUACCUUUCAAGAAAGCUCCGGCUAACUACGUGCCAGCAGCCGCGGUAAUACGUAGGGAGCGAGCGUUAUCCGGAUUCAUUGGGUGUAAAGGGUACGUAGGCGGCUUAAUAGGUCUAUGGUUUAAGCCCGAAGCUUAACUUCGGUUCGCCAUAGAAACCGUUUUGCUUGAGUAUGGUAGAGGCAAGUGGAAUUUCUAGUGUAGCGGUUAAAUGCGUAGAUAUUAGAAGGAACACCAGUGGCGAAGGCGACUUUCUGGACCGUAACUGACGUUGAGGUACGAAAGUGUGGGGAGCAAACAGGAUUAGAUACCCUGGUAGUCCACACUGUAAACGAUGGAUACUAGGUGUAGGGGUUAUUAAGACUUCUGUGCCGUCGCAAACGCAGUAAGUAUCCCACCUGGGGAGUACGACCGCAAGGUUGAAACUCAAAGGAAUUGACGGGGGCCCGCACAAGCAGUGGAGUAUGUGGUUUAAUUCAAAGCAACGCGAAGAACCUUACCAGGGCUUGACAUAUAUAGGAAUAACUAAGAGAUUAGUUAGCUCUUCGGAGACUAUAUACAGGUGGUGCAUGGUUGUCGUCAGCUCGUGUCGUGAGAUGUUGGGUUAAGUCCCGCAACGAGCGCAACCCCUGUUUCUAGUUGCCAGCAUUAAGUUGGGCACUCUAGUGAGACUGCCGGUGACAAACCGGAGGAAGGUGGGGACGACGUCAGAUCAUCAUGCCCCUUAUGACCUGGGCUACACACGUGCUACAAUGGACGGUACAACGAGUCGCAAGCUCGCGAGAGUAAGCUAAUCUCUUAAAGCCGUUCUCAGUUCGGACUGUAGGCUGCAACUCGCCUACACGAAGUCGGAAUCGCUAGUAAUCGCGGAUCAGCAUGCCGCGGUGAGUACGUUCCCGGGCCUUGUACUCACCGCCCGUCA